rnacentral:lncRNA from 1 species
AAUUUGCCUGUCUAAUGCUUAAACACUUUCUGCUAGUUCUAUCUCAUUCUUUACCCAUUGGAGAGUACCAGUGGGUUUUCAGAUAACUUCCUUAAAGACCAGAAAGAAAGAUUAAAAAAAAAUUCAGCAUUACUGUAUUUGAUAAACUCUGUGAGAUGGAUGUUAUUGUUAUCUCUGAAUUGGCAGAUAUGGGCAAGGAUGUUCCAAGAGGUCUGCAGUGUCACACAAGUAGUAAAUAGCAUAGCCUGGGCUAGACUUAGAGGUCUUUUAACCAGUCACAUUCCCCCUCAGCAGUGAGAACUAUGGUCUGCCCCUGCUCCCUCAGUGCACGCCAAUUAGUUUAGGCCUGCAUUCAGACGGGAUGAGUUAUGUUCUGAUUAAGAACCACAUGUAGUAUAUGCUAUAAGUAGGCAGAUGUGCCUGUAGCCAUGGGGACUUGCUGGGGGAACUGGACUUGAGUUGAGUCUUAAAACAUGGAAAAGCCUUAACUAAGUGGAGUGGAGGGCCAAGAGCAUUCCAGACAAGAGAAAAAGGUGAGCAGGGGGAGGAAUUUGCAUCCUUCUUUGGGGAGCCAGGAAGUGGACUGGUGUGAAUAUUUCGGAGUGAUCAUAUAGGCAGGCAGCUGAGGGAUCCUCAGUGCGUGGUUAUAGUAACUGGAGUGGAUUUACUCUGGGGCAGGACUUACUCCGUUGACACUCCUGGAGAAGAGCAGGGGAACAGGAGGAGAGCCUUCCCAGUUACUCUGUUAGGGACCUUCUCUUUGACCGUGUCCUGCAGAUGCACAGUAGUUGGGAUUCAUCCACCUCCAUCCACUUAUUUCUUUUUAGCUCAUUUUGUUUCAUUCAACAGACAUUCCCAUUACCACAUUCUAGGCACUGUGUCAAGUCUUACUGAAGUUACUGAAAGGAACCCUCAGUGAAUGUUUUGUGAAUUUAGACAUGAA